GCCCCUAUAGCUCAGAUUUGGUAGAGCACCAUCCUCGUAAGAUGGGGGUCCUGGGUCCAAAUCCCAGUAGGGGCU
rnacentral:tRNA from 1 species